ensembl:rRNA 5S_rRNA 5S ribosomal RNA
AUCUAUGGCCAUAUUGCCUUCAAUGUGCCAGAUCUUACAUGAUCUUGGAAGUUAAACAGAGGCAAAUCUGGUUAGUACUUGAAUGGGAGCAUGGAGCUCCACAAACCUCAUGACAAAAACUGCAAUUGCUU